GACGAACGCCGGCGGCGUGCUUAACACAUGCAAGUCGAGCGGUAAGGCCCUUUCGGGGGUACACGAGCGGCGAACGGGUGAGUAACACGUGGGUGACCUGCCCUCAGCUCUGGGAUAAGCCUGGGAAACCGGGUCUAAUACCGGAUAUGACUCCAUGACGCAUGUUGUGGGGUGGAAAGCCUUGUGCGGCUGAGGAUGGGCCCGCGGCCUAUCAGCUUGUUGGUGGGGUGAUGGCCACCAAGGCGACGACGGGUAGCCGGCCUGAGAGGGCGACCGGCCACACUGGGGACUGAGACACGGCCCAGACUCCUACGGGAGGCAGCAGUAGGGAAUAUUGGACAAUGGUGCAAGCCUGAUCCAGCCAUGCCGCGUGCAGGAAGAAAGCCUUCUGGGUUGUAAACUGCUUUUGCCAGGGGAUAAAAUAUCUGUGCGCAGAUAAUUGAAGGUACCUGGUGAAUAAGCCACGGCUAACUACGUGCCAGCCGCCGCUGUAAC
rnacentral:rRNA from 1 species